rnacentral:lncRNA from 1 species
AUCCAGCAAACGGCUGCUGGGUGCCUGUGUCCUGGGCACUAUGCCAGACUCUGGGGAUACAACGUGGGGCAGGGACAGAUGCAGUUGCAAAGUGAUGAUCUGAAUUUGUAGGUGGGGGAUAAAGAGAUCAAGGGUGAUGUGGCGGUUUUAAAAUGUGGUCCCCAAAUUCUUUUAAACUGUUCUGUGCCCAUGAAUCAAUUCUUCCCUAUGGCCUUGCUUCUCAGACUCUGGUCCCUGGACCAGGAGUAUCAUCCCCUGGGAGCUCAUUAGAAAUGCAGAAUCUUAGGCCCUACCCUGGACAUACCGAAUCAUCUG